rnacentral:rRNA from 1 species
AUUGAACGCUGGCGGCAGGCCUAACACAUGCAAGUCGAGCGAGAAAGGUCUUCGGACUGAGUACAGCGGCGGACGGGUGAGUAAUGCGCAGGAAUCUACCUGGUAGUGGGGGAUAACUCGGGGAAACUCGAACUAAUACCGCAUACGCCCUACGGGGAAAGCGGGGACCGUUCGGGCCUCGCGCUAUCAGAUGAGCCUGCGUAGGAUUAGCUUGUUGGUGAGGUAAAGGCUCACCAAGGCGACGAUCCUUAGCUGGUCUGAGAGGAUGAUCAGCCACACUGGAACUGAGACACGGUCCAGACUCCUACGGGAGGCAGCAGUGGGGAAUAUUGCGCAAUGGGCGAAAGCCUGACGCAGCCAUGCCGCGUAGUGUGAAGAAGGCCCCUUGGGUUGUAAAGCACUUUCAAUUGGGAAGAAAGGUUGCGUGUUAAUAGCACGUAGCUGUGACGUUACCUUUAGAGAAGCACGGCUAACUCCGUGCCAGCAGCCGACGG